rnacentral:rRNA from 1 species
CCUACGGGUGGCAGCAGUGGGGAAUAUUGCACAAUGGGGGGAACCCUGAUGCAGCGACGCCGCGUGAGUGAAGAAGUAUUUCGGUACGUAAAGCUCUAUCAGCAGGGAAGAAAAAAGGACGGUACCUGAGUAAGAAGCCCCGGCUAACUACGUGCCAGCAGCCGCGGUAAUACGUAGGGUGCAAGCGAUAUCCGGAAUUACUGGGUGUAAAGGGAGCGUAGGCGGCAAUGCAAGUGCGGAGUGGAAUGCUGCGGCACAACUGCCGACCUGCUCUGGAAACUGGAUGGAGUGAGUGCAGGAGCGGUAAGCGGAAUGCCUGGUGUAGCGGUGAAAUGCGUAGAUAUCAGGAGGAACACCGGUGGCGAAGGCGGCUUACUGGACUGUAACUGACGUUGAGGCUCGAAAGCGUGGGGAGCAAACAGGAUUAGAUACCCUUGUAGUC